UUUUCAUUAACAUGCAAAAGUAAGCGUUGCAGUUUUAAGAUGGUCCCUUAAUCCUCUGAGCAGAGAAGAGCAACAUUUUAGCCACAUUUUGCCUCCAUAAAGAAAAUAUGACACCAAAUCGCAAAAACAAGAGUUGUAACUGGUUCGCUAUCGUUAGCUGAUUCAGAAUAUGUUGUUUAUCUACUGUUCCCUCUGUAGAUUUUAGUAGCUGAAUUUGUCACUAGAAUCAUUUACCAAUGAAAGUCUCUGGAGGGGUCUGAAAACUUGCUCAAUAUUGUAGGCAGCACUGCCUGAGUGGCAAAUCACUUGUUAGCUUAUAGGCCUACUGUAGCUCUGAUUAGCUAUGGUUCACAGGUCCACGUAGACUCUAGUCCUGGACAAGACAGAUUUUUUAUUAGGUUUUAUUCACUGCAGUGUCUAUUAAUUGUCCUGUCAGUUCAGCUUUUAACGGUGGCUAUUUGUGUGUGUCUGUGUGUGUGUGUAUAUCUGUUUGUGCACGUGUGAGCGAAUGAGAGCCACUGGGAAGGGCUUGUCUCAGACUCUUGUUUUAGUGUUGGCACAACUUCAGACUGCCAGCCUAAUCCAAGGCCCCCUCAGAGCUUGGACACAACUAAAGCAGGACCUGAGCCAUAGGACCAUGCCUCAGGACUACCUGGCAUGAUGACUCCUUGCUGUCCCCAGUCCACACGGCCGUGCUGCUGCUCCAGUUUCAACUGUUCUGCCUGCGGCUAUGAAAUACUGACCUGUUCACCGGACGUGCUACCUGUCCCAGACCUAUUAUUUGACCGUGCUGGUCAUUUAUGAACAUUUGAACAUCUUGGCCAUGUUCUGUUAUAAUCUCCCCCCGGCACAGCCAGAAGAGGACUGGCCACCCCACAUAGCCUGGUUCCUCUCUAGGAAUCUUCCUAGGAUUUGGCCUUUCUAGGGAGUUUUUCCUAGCCAACGUGCUUCAACACCUGCAUUGCUUGCUGUUUGGGGUUUUAGGCUGGGUUUCUGUACAGCACUUUGAGCUAUCAGCUGAUGUUCGAAGGGCUAUAUAAAUAAAUUUGAUUUGAUGAUUUGAUUUGACCUAGGCCUGUAUGUCUGUCUGAAUGUAUGACUGUGACCUAGGCCUGUAUGUCUGUCUGACUGUCUGACUGUGACCUAGACCUCUAUGUCUGUCUGACUGUAUGACUGUGUGACUGUAUGACUGAGUGACUGUGACCUAGGCCUGUAUGUCUGUCUGAAUGUGUGACUGUAUGAGUGUAUGACUGUGUGACUGUACGACUCUAUGCCUGUGUGACUGUGUGACUCUUUGACUGUAUGACUGUAUGACUGUGUGACUCUAUGCCCGUGUGACUGUGUGACUCUAUGCCUGUGUGACUGCGUGAAUCUUUGACUGUAUGACUGUGUGACUCUAUGACUUUGUGACUCUAUGCCUGUGUGACUCUAUGCCUGUGUGACUCUAUGCCUGUGUGACUGUGUGACUGUGUGACUCAAUGCCUGUGUGACUCUAUGCCUGUGUGACUGUGUGACUGUGUGACUCUAUGCCUGUGUGACUCUAUGCCUGUGUGACUGUGUGACUGUAUGCCUGUGUGACUGUGUGACUCUAUGCCUGUGUGACUGUGUGACUCUAUGCCUGUGUGACUGUGUGACUGUGUGACUCUAUGCUUGUGUAACUGUAUGACUGUGUGACUGUGUGACUCUAUGCCUGUGUGACUGCGUGACUCUGACUGUAUGACUGCGCGACUCUAUGACUGUGUGACUGUGUGACUCUAUGCCUGUGUGACUCUAUGCCUGUGUGACUCCAUGCCUGUGUGACUGUGACUGGGUGACCGUGUGACUGUAUGACUGGGUGACUGUGUGACUCUAUGCCUGUGUGACUCUAUGCCUGUGUGACUGUGUGACUCUGACUCUAUGCCUGUGUGACUGUGUGACUCUAUACCUGUGUGACUGUGUGACUCUAUGCCUGUGUGACUGUGUGACUCUAUGCCUGUGUAACUGUGUGACUGUGACUGUAUGACUGGGUGACUGUGUGACUCUAUGCCUGUGUAACUGUGUGACUGUGACUGUAUGACUGGGUGACUGUGUGACUCUAUGCCUGUGUGACUCUGUGACUCUUUGACUGUAUGACUGUAUUUGUAUUUAUUUAUUAUUUCACCUUUAUUUAACCAGGUAGGCAAGUUGAGAACAAGUUCUCAUUUACAACUGCGACCAGGCCCUGAUAAAGCAAAGCAGUUCGACACAUAUAACAACGCAGAGUUACACGUGGAGCAAAACAAACAUACAGUCAAUAAUACAGUACAAAAAUAAGUCUAUAUAGGAUGUGAGCAAAUGAGGUGAGAUAAGGGAGGUAAAGGCAAAAAAAGGCCAUGGUGGCAAAGUAAAUACAAUAUAGCAAGUAAAACACUGGAAUGGUAGAUUUGCAGUGGAAGAAUGUGCAAAGUAGAAAUAGAAAUAAUGGGGAGCAAAGGAGCAAAAUAAAUACAGUAGGGGAAGAGGCAGUUGUUUGGGCUAAAUUAUAGAUGGGCUAUGUACAGGUGCAGUAAUCUGAGAGCUGCUCUGACAGCUGGUGCUUGAAGCUAGUGAGGGAGAUAAGUGUUUCCAGUUUCAGAGAUGUUUGUAGUUCGUUCCAGUCAUUGGCAGCAGAGAACUGGAAGGAGAGGCGGCCAAAGGAGGAAUUGGUUUUGUGGGUGACCAGAAAGAUAUACCUGCUGGAGCGCGUGCUACAGGUGGGUGCAGCUAUGGUGACCAGCGAGCUGAGAUAAGGAGGGACUUCACCUAGCAGGGUCUUAGAUGACCUGGAGCCAGUGGGUUUGGCGACGAGUAUGAAGUGAGGGCCAGCCAACGAGAGCGUACAGGUCGCAGUGGUGAGUAGUAUAUGGGGCUUUGGUGCCAAAAUGGAUGGCACUGUGAUAGACUGCAUCCAAUUUAUUAAGUAGGGUAUUGAAGGCUAUUUUGUAAAUGACAUCGCCGAAGUCGAGGAUCGGUAGGAUGGUCAGUUUUACGAGGGUAUGUUUGGCAGCAUGAGUGAAGGAUGCUUUGUUGCGAAAUAGGAAGCCAAUUCUAGAUUUAACUUUGGAUUGGAGAUGUUUGAUGUGAGUCUGGAAGGAGAGUUUAGUCUAACCAGAUACCUAGGUAUUUGUAGUUGUCCACAUAUUCUAAGUCAGAACCAUCCAGAGUAGUGAUGCUAGACGGGCAGGCAGGUGAAGGCAGCGAUUGGUUGAAAAGCAUGCAUUUAGUUUUACUUGUAUUUAAGAGCAGUUGGAUCCAACGGAAGGAGAGUUGUAUGACUGUGUGACUCUAUGCCUGUGUGACUGUGUGACUCUAUGCCUGUGUGACUGUGUUACUGUGUGACUAUGCCUGUGUGACUAAAAAAGCCUUGUGCCCUAAAAGCCUUGUGCUUUCAAUUAAAACAUCUAUCACGGAUUACUCACACAAAAACAUACCUUCAGCCUCAGUAGAGUGGAGCCUGUUACUUACAAAGGGCUUACAAAUCCUACCUCGCUGCUCCGGGCUAUGGCAUCUCACUAACACACUCACACACACCUAUCUCUCUCUCUUUCCCUCUGUCUUUUUCUUCAGCCACCUUUCUUUAUACUCUUAAAAAGGGGUACUUCGGCUGUCCGCAUAGGGUAACUAUUUUUUGUUCCACGCAGAACACUUUUGGUAUCCAUGUAGAACCUUUUGUGGAAAAGGUUUUACAUGUAACACAAAAGGGUUCUACCUUGAACCAAAAAGGGUAUUUCAAAAGGUUAUCCUAUGGGGCCAGCUGAAGAACCCUUAGGUUCUAGAGUGUAGGAGCAGAGCUUGCAGGCAAAACAGGAUUGAAUGUGAAAUUGACCCUUCCUCUUCAUUUCUGAAAUGAUUAAUAGAGAAGGAUAUUCCUGAAACUGUUGAAUUAAUGUGUUGUUCUCGAUCAAUAUGUAGUCUAUCAAAUGUAAUAUAUCAACAAGUGUUGUUCUCGAUCAAUAUGUAGUCUAUCAAAUGUAAUAUAUCAACAAGUGUUGUUCUCGAUCAAUAUGUAGUCUAUCAAAUGUAAUAUAUCAACAUGUGUUGUUCUCGAUCAAUAUGUAGUCUAUCAAAUGUAAUAUAUCAACAAGUGUUGUUCUUUUCUUUUGGAAUGUGUUAAUCAACUCCUCAGAACGCAGGGUAGCGCACACCACUUCAUAGACAAUAGGCUGUCAUCUCUCUUUCUAUGAGAAGACAUUCUGUUCCUGGUCGUACCAGACCGACAGUUUAGAGAAGAGAAACCAGACCCC
ensembl:lncRNA